rnacentral:rRNA from 1 species
GGUUAAGCGACUAAGCGUACACGGUGGAUGCCCUGGCAGUCAGAGGCGAUGAAGGACGUGCUAAUCUGCGAUAAGCGUCGGUAAGGUGAUAUGAACCGUUAUAACCGGCGAUUUCCGAAUGGGGAAACCCAGUGUGAUUCGUCACACUAUCAUUACGUGAAUACAUAGCGUAAUGAAGCGAACCGGGGGAACUGAAACAUCUAAGUACCCCGAGGAAAAGAAAUCAACCGAGAUUCCCCCAGUAGCGGCGAGCGAACGGGGAGCAGCCCAGAGUCUGAAUCAGCUUGUGUGUUAGUGGAACGGUCUGGAAAGUCCGACGGUACAGGGUGAUAGUCCCGUACACCAAAAUGCACAGGUUGUGAACUCGAAGAGUAGGGCGGGACACGUGGUAUCCUGUCUGAAUAUGGGGGGACCAUCCUCCAAGGCUAAAUACUCCUGACUGACCGAUAGUGAACCAGUACCGUGAGGGAAAGGCGAAAAGAACCCCGGCGAGGGGAGUGAAAAAGAACCUGAAACCGUGUACGUACAAGCAGUGGGAGCCUCUUUAUGGGGUGACUGCGUACCUUUUGUAUAAUGGGUCAGCGACUUAUAUUCUGUAGCAAGGUUAACCGUAUAGGGGAGCCGAAGGGAAACCGAGUCUUAACUGGGCGUUAAGUUGCAGGGUAUAGACCCGAAACCCGGUGAUCUAGCCAUGGGCAGGUUGAAGGUUGGGUAACACUAACUGGAGGACCGAACCGACUAAUGUUGAAAAAUUAGCGGAUGACUUGUGGCUGGGGGUGAAAGGCCAAUCAAACCGGGAGAUAGCUGGUUCUCCCCGAAAGCU